rnacentral:rRNA from 1 species
AGAGUUUGAUCCUGGCUCAGGACGAACGCUGGCGGCGCGCCUAACACAUGCAAGUCGAACGAGAGAUGAGGAGCUUGCUCUUCAAAUCGAGUGGCGAACGGGUGAGUAACGCGUGAGGAACCUGCCUCAAAGAGGGGGACAACAGUUGGAAACGACUGCUAAUACCGCAUAAGCCCACGGCUCGGCAUCGAGCAGAGGGAAAAGGAGCAAUCCGCUUUGAGAUGGCCUCGCGUCCGAUUAGCUAGUUGGUGAGGUAAUGGCCCACCAAGGCGACGAUCGGUAGCCGGACUGAGAGGUUGAACGGCCACAUUGGGACUGAGACACGGCCCAGACUCCUACGGGAGGCAGCAGUGGGGAAUAUUGCACAAUGGGGGAAACCCUGAUGCAGCGACGCCGCGUGGAGGAAGAAGGUCUUCGGAUUGUAAACUCCUGUUGUUGAGGAAGAUAAUGACGGUAUUCAACAAGGAAGUGACGGCUAACUACGUGCCAGCAGCCGCGGUAAAACGUAGGUCACAAGCGUUGUCCGGAAUUACUGGGUGUAAAGGGAGCGCAGGCGGGAGAACAAGUUGGAAGUGAAAUCCAUGGGCUCAACCCAUGAACUGCUUUCAAAACUGUUUUUCUUGAGUAGUGCAGAGGUAGGCGGAAUUCCCGGUGUAGCGGUGGAAUGCGUAGAUAUCGGGAGGAACACCAGUGGCGAAGGCGGCCUACUGGGCACCAACUGACGCUGAGGCUCGAAAGUGUGGGUAGCAAACAGGAUUAGAUACCCUGGUAGUCCACACCGUAAACGAUGAUUACUAGGUGGUGGAGGAUU